GCUGUCCGUUACUUCAUUUAGCUUCCCUUGGAAGCUUAGUAUCAAAACUUCGUCGUUUUGACUCAUCAAAUUUAGGCCCUUUGUUUCCUUCCUUUUCUUCAUCCAAUAACCCUGAAUCCUUCUCUUCGUUAUCUCCAUUUUAAAUUUUCCUUUUUCUUUUGAUUUCCACACUUUUGCUCUCAAGUUUUUCUCUCUUAAGGAAGCAAAAUUUUCCUCGCAUUCUCAUCUUCUUUCUGAUUGUGGUCGUCUAUCCCCAGGUGAAGGCUGAAUUGGAAAAAAAGGUUAGAGGUAAAGAAUCAGACCUUAAGCUUUUUCCAAAACAUGGAGGCUGAAAGGCUAAGAUUUGUUGGGAAAAAAGAAGAAAUACAAAUAUCACCUUAAUAAGAUGGGGAUUGAUUGGAGGCGAAGUUAGCCUCAGAACUGGGCCUCGUGGAUGAGAUUAAAGCCUUGAAGAUUUAGGGAAGAAAGGCAAACGAGAGGGUCUCUACUGAGGAAAAUAGAGCUGAAGAAGCGAGAGCUAAGGCUAACGAAGCUAUGAAGAGGGCUGAAGAAGCUACCAAAAAGGUAAAAGAGGUUGAAGCUAAAGCAACUAAGGAAAUGGAUCUUUUGAGGGCCUUUCUUGAGUUCGACCUCUAGCUCAGGAUGCCUAUUAGUGGCCUUGGAGGAGUUUGUGAAACAUACUGACAACGAGUGGCCAGGUUUUGACAUUGCGUUUUUUGGUAGAGGUGUUAAAAGAACAGAAAAAGGAACAGAGAAAACGUCUGAGGCAGUUGGGUUUCACAUCUCUCUUGCCGAUGAAGAUGUUGAAGAUGAGGUCGUUGCUCAGAGAGAUCCCCUAGUUCGUUAGCUCCCACUUUUUUUAUGCUGAUGCUAAACACUAUUUUUAAUUUGCUUAUAAUAGACAUUUAGCUAGUAAAUGGAUAUUCUAUUGCAUGUCAAUUCGAUUUUUUGCACAAA